rnacentral:rRNA from 1 species
GACGAACGCUGGCGGCGUGCUUAACACAUGCAAGUCGAACGGAAAGGCCCUGCUUUUGUGGGGUGCUCGAGUGGCGAACGGGUGAGUAACACGUGAGUAACCUGCCCUUGACUUUGGGAUAACUUCAGGAAACUGGGGCUAAUACCGGAUAGGAGCUCCUGCUGCAUGGUGGGGGUUGGAAAGUUUCGGCGGUUGGGGAUGGACUCGCGGCUUAUCAGCUUGUUGGUGGGGUAGUGGCUUACCAAGGCUUUGACGGGUAGCCGGCAUGAGAGGGUGACCGGCCACAUUGGGACUGAGAUACGGCCCAGACUCCUACGGGAGGCAGCAGUGGGGAAUAUUGCACAAUGGGCGGAAGCCUGAUGCAGCAACGCCGCGUGCGGGAUGACGGCCUUCGGGUUGUAAACCGCCUUCGCCUGUGACGAAGCGUGAGUGACGGUAAUGGGUAAAGAAGCACCGGCUAACUACGUG